UCAAACUUGGUCAUUUAGAGGAAGUAAAAGUCGUAACAAGGUUUCCGUAGGUGAACCUGCGGAAGGAUCAUUAACAAUGUGCAAUCCUUUUAUCCACCUUGUGUACAACUCGAGAAAAAAGCCUGCUCCGGAAAGAUUAUUUUUAAUCUUUCCGGAGAGGUCAUCACGAUCAAUUAUUUUUUUCUUUUCUGUUUUAUCUAAAAAUGCAAAUUUGAAAUAAAAAACAACUUUCAACAACGGAUCUCUUGGCUCUCGCAUCGAUGAAGAACGCAGC
rnacentral:misc_RNA from 1 species